rnacentral:rRNA from 1 species
AACGAACGCUAACGGCGUGCUUAACACAUGCAAGUCGCACGAGAAAUCCCGGGCAACUGGGAGAGUACAGUGGCGCACGGGUGAGUAGCGCGCGGGUAAUCUACCCUUAAGUUGGGAAUAACACCUCGAAAGGGGUGCUAAUUCCGAAUAACAUCCCUGGAACCCCGGUUCCGGGGAUCAAAGAUGGCUGAGGCUUGCAAGCUAUCGCUUAAGGAUGAGCCCGCGUACCAUUAGCUAGUUGGUGGGGUAACGGUCACCAAGGCCAUGAUGGUUAGCUGGUCUGAGAGGAUGGCCAGCCACACUGGAACUGAGACACGGUCCAGACUCCUACGGGAGGCAGCAGUGAGGAAUCUUGCGCAAUGGGGGCAACCCUGACGCAGCAACGCCGCGUGAGUGAGGAAGGCCUUCGGGUCGUAAAGCUCUGUCAGAUGGGAAGAAAGUUUUGGGUGUGAAUAAUGCCCGAGAUCGACGGUACCGUCAAAGGAAGCACCGGCUAACUCCGUGCCAGCCGCCGCCGUAAAAC